AAUGAACGCUGGCGGCGUGCCUAAUACAUGCAAGUCGAACGGUGUGGCGCACGGGUGAGUAAUAAAUAGCUAAUCUGCCCAUUGCUGGCGGCAAACAGUUAGAAAUGCCUGCUAAUACUCCUAAGUAAGGGAUAAGACUAUAUCGUAUCAGCUAGUCGGUGGGAUAACGGCCUACCGAGGCUAUGACGCGUAACGGGUCUGAGAGGAUGAUCAGUCACAGUGGAAAUGAGACACGGUUCAAACUCCUACGGGAGGCAGCAGUAGGGAAUAGUGCGCAAUGGGGGAAACCCUGACGCAGCAACGCCGCGUGGAGGAUGACACUUUUCGGAGCGUAAACGUCUUUUGUGAGGGAAGCGGUACCUACCGAAUAAGCACCGGCUAACUCCGUGCCAGCAGCCGCGGUAAUUC
rnacentral:rRNA from 1 species